rnacentral:lncRNA from 1 species
GUCCAAUAAAGAGUGCAGUUAGAAAUGUGGGAGCUGGUUUCUCGUCCAAGUUUGCAAGUUGGGGUAAGGGAGGGGCGGGUGGAACUGGCUGCAUCCGCUGGCUGGCUUCAGACGGUGCUAACUUGGAAGCUUGAGCAGAGGGGAUGGUAGGGCCGAUGAACUGGGGGAUUGAUAAUGAAACAGGAAGGCUUUCCUCACCAAAUGCCCAGCUGGUGCCUGGAAGCUGGUCGGGAUCCAGAGCCUAGUUCACAGAUUAGAGGACCCUGCAGUGAGUUGGCAGUCUCCGCGGGCGGGGCCGUUGAACAGGGGUUUGCCCUAUUCUGGAUGGUCUGAAGGAAGAUGUUAAUUACGAAAGAACAUCCGGUUCUUGGCAUUCUGUGUAGAAGAAAUCAAUGAUGUUGAAGACCCUAAAGAGAAUCACUGAUUUUGCGGAGGCUUAAUAAAAAGUCAACAAUCAAACA